UUUUGAUCAAUUCUUAUAUAUGACUUAGGUUUGUCAAGUGUAAAACAACCUGAGGUUUGACUCAAGUUGGUUUUCAACAUAGAAAUGGAAAAAAAGAGGAAUACCUAAAGCUUUUGAGUAUCACAAUCUAUUCGUAAGUACAAAGGGAAGGAGUGGACUAAAGCAUUUGCCUCUUUUCCCUUUGGAGAAGAGCAUCACAGGGGAGAGCCUGGAGUAGAUGUAUAAUGGCUCAGUGCUCAUUGCUCCUUCGCAACACAGAACAUGGGGUUGAAGGUCAGUUACUUUUUUAAUUGUU
rnacentral:lncRNA from 1 species